CAGGCCUAACACAUGCAAGUCGAACGAAGGCUUCGGCCUUAGUGGCGCACGGGUGCGUAACGCGUGGGAAUCUGCCCUUGGGUUCGGAAUAACAGUGGGAAACUACUGCUAAUACCGGAUAAUGACGUAAGUCCAAAGAUUUAUCGCCCAAGGAUGAGCCCGCGUAGGAUUAGCUUGUUGGUGAGGUAAAAGCUCACCAAGGCGACGAUCCUUAGCUGGUCUGAGAGGAUGAUCAGCCACACUGGGACUGAGACACGGCCCAGACUCCUACGGGAGGCAGCAGUGGGGAAUAUUGGACAAUGGGCGAAAGCCUGAUCCAGCAAUGCCGCGUGAGUGAUGAAGGCCUUAGGGUUGUAAAGCUCUUUUACCCGGGAUGAUAAUGACAGUACCGGGA
rnacentral:rRNA from 1 species